GGCCGUGUGGCGCAAUGGUAGCGCGUUACUUUCCGGUUUGGAGAAUGUUGUCAAAAAUAUUCUCUGGAAAUAAGAAAUUCUGAUUGGUAAAGGUUCUGGGUUCGAGUCCCAGCAUGGUCG